rnacentral:rRNA from 1 species
AUUGAACGCUGGCGGCAUGCCUUACACAUGCAAGUCGAACGGGAACAGGUCUUCGGAUGCUGAUGAGUGGCGAACGGGUGAGUAAUACAUCGGAACGUGCCCGAUCGUGGGGGAUAACGAAGCGAAAGCUUUGCUAAUACCGCAUACGAUCUAAGGAUGGAAGCAGGGGACCGCAAGGCCUUGCGCGAACGGAGCGGCCGAUGGCAGAUUAGGUAGUUGGUGGGAUAAAAGCUUACCAAGCCGACGAUCUGUAGCUGGUCUGAGAGGACGACCAGCCACACUGGGACUGAGACACGGCCCAGACUCCUACGGGAGGCAGCAGUGGGGAAUUUUGGACAAUGGGCGAAAGCCUGAUCCAGCCAUGCCGCGUGCAGGAUGAAGGCCUUCGGGUUGUAAACUGCUUUUGUACGGAACGAAAAGACUCUGGUUAAUACCUGGGGUCCAUGACGGUACCGUAAGAAUAAGCACCGGCUAACUACGUGCCAGCCGCCGCCGUAA